GUCCAGAACAGACGGUUCAACAGAGGAGAGGUUGAGAUGGUCCAAAAGGUGUUUGAGAGAGGAUAAAAAAAAAAAAAGAGAGAAGAGAAGAACAUUUGUUAUUCACGCAUGUUGAGUUCGACUGAUCAGGAACAGCUGAGAGCUCGUUUUCUCACCAUCUGACCGACUGGCUUCAGUACAUUCCUCCAGAUUUUUCUAAUUAAACUCAAAAGGAGAAGUGAAGGUACUGCACGGUGUACUCCUUCCUCUAAACUUGAAAUUGGUUAGAGCCAGUUAAGAAGACUGUAAUGCUAAUAAAUUAACUCAAGGUCCACUCACUAGCUUUUCCCAGAUUUAAUUUCCAUCUCGUGGUCUUCCUCCAUCACACGCUGUUUGCUCACUUUUCGUGGAGAUAACUUGAUUGUCAUCACGCAACGCUUGCAACUGCAUCUCAUGGGCCUCCUCAAUACAAUAGCAGUUUUUCUGGGUCUACUCACCACUACAGUGGCCGUCUCCAAGCCCAGGGAGCCCCAGCUUAGGAAGAGAGCCAGCCAGGCCAACACGGUCAUCCUGUGGAGGAACAGUACAAACUCUUCAGCCAAGAGGACACCCUGACCAUCAAUACAGCGUUGUAUGAAUUAAAACUGCUGAGGAGAGUGAUAAGAUUCUGGUAACACGGCUGAUCUGGGGAUUUCACCAAGAAAAGAUGAGACAUGCGUCUGUACAAGACAAGGCGGAGACGAGACUCCACUGUAGUGAGGUUAAGAUGAACUUUACUCAACUUCUUUCUGUUUAAGGCCGGAGAUGAAUCACGUCUGUGGUGUUUGCUGCGUG